rnacentral:lncRNA from 1 species
CCUGGACCUACCCAAGAUUGGCCUUGUCAACAGUAAGUCAUGGAAAGUCAAGGAAUUCAUGGGGUACCUCACUGCUGAACUGGGAAAAGAUUCUGGGAAAAGGAUGGCUAGUGUCUACAGCCGUGUACACACAGCUAAACCUAUCAGGCUCCAUUGAAUACUUGCAAAUCAGGGUCACAAGACAGCACUGGUUUAAAGACAAAACAAACAGACAUGAAGAGAUUUGCAGGGAAAAGGUGAGUUAGACAGAGGUGCUGGGGAGAUGGGAGAGAAUAGGGUCCCAAAUGGUAAAUAGGCAUUAUAUAUAGAACCCCUAGAAUGCUAGGGAGACAGGUGGGGAAUCCCUGACAGCCAGCCUAGCCUACUCCUUGAGUUCCAGGCCAGUGAAAGGCUCUGUCUGAAAACAGAAAUGGGGAACGCACCUUAGGAAACACACUCAAAAUUGUCCUCUGGUCUCUGUGCACUCACACACGUGUAUACCACACACACACACACACACACACGUAUGCCAAGCACAUAUAUACACUCACAUGCACGCAUGUACUCCUGACACAUACACAGCAUGCACAUACACAGACAUGCAC